GGGGCGGUAGCUCAACUGGGAGAGCGCGGCGUUCGCAAUGCCGAGGUUGGGAGUUCGAUCCUCCUCCGCUCCAC
rnacentral:tRNA from 1 species